GCCUCCCCCUUUUCUCCGGUAUUGGGCGUUUCCGCUCAAUAGGUUGUUGUUGUUGUUGUUGUUGUUGUUGUUGUUGUUGUUGUUGUUGUUGUUGUUGUUGUUGUUGUUGUUGUUGUUGUUGUUGUUGUUGUUGUUGUUGUUGUUGUUGUUGAACGUUAGGCUAACUGCCUGGCUCUGGUACCGUGUGUUAAUGUUAGUUUCGUUAUAUGUGAUUCAGCGUUUGUUUGCGCGAGGCUCGUAUCGAGCUCCGCUGGCCAAUUGCUGCCUUCAUUCAGUCAGCUGUUCCAUACAGCCGUGUGUGUGUGCGGCUGUAAUUAUGGCUGUAGCUUCAACACUUUUGGAGCUGAAGGCCUAGUGCAGGGGGCUAGCUGUUCCCUGCGCUAAAUGGUGGUAGUGCCCCUUCUCACCUGUGGAGUGCUGUGUGUGUACAACUGACUCGCCUGUGUUUGUGUGUGUAUGUGCGUGUGAGAGAGUGUACACUUGGGGGUGACGUGUCUUUAUCGGGGAAUUGCUGCCCCCGGCUAGCCUUCCUGCUCCUGGGUCUUAUUUGCCAAGCCAAGGUCAUUUCUGCUGAUGCACAUCACUGUGCUGUUGAUGGUGAAGUCCACAUCAGUCAUAGUGAAGGUGCUGUUUACAGUGAUGUGACCAUCUGAUGCUCUAACUGUGGUAGUAUGAUGAUCGUCCUGUAGCAGAGGCCAGUGAAUAUCAGGCAAAGGCACACCCUGACUGACACACACACAGAUGCCAACAUGAUCAAGUUAUCUUGUUUGUCUGCCUCUGGUGAGCUGAGUGGGAACUCUGGGCUGCCUCUGAACCAGACCUGUCGGCCAGAGUGUGCUCUCAUUGGAGCAGUGAAUGCACAAGGGAUCCGGACACAUCCACCCAGAGCACUGAUGUGGUUCUCUUCCAGCCGCAAGGAGAAGUCAUAAUCACCUGCAUAUAACAGUUAACAGAAAAUAAAGAUGUUGUUUGGAGAAAUUUAAACAAAAUGGGAUUGUUUAGAGAUUUUUACUUCUCACUGAAUGGCUGUUU